rnacentral:rRNA from 1 species
CCUACGGGCGGCAGCAGUGGGGGAUAUUGCACAAUGGGGGGAACCCUGAUGCAGCGACGCCGCGUGGGUGAAGGAGCGUUUCGGCGCGUAAAGCCCUAUCGGCAGGGAAGAAGGAUGACGGUACCUGACUAAGCCGCCCCGGCUAACUACGUGCCAGCAGCCGCGGUCAUACGGAGGGGGCAAGCGUUACCCGGAUUUACUGGGUGGAAAGGGGGCGCAGACGGCAGCGCAAGCCAGGGGUGAAAGCCCGGGGCCCAACCCCGGGACUGCUCUUGGAACUGCGCGGCUGGAGUGCAGGAGGGGCAGGCGGAAUUCCUGGUGUAGCGGUGAAAUGCGUAGAUAUCAGGAGGAACACCGGUGGCGAAGGCGGCCUGCUGGACUGCGACUGACGUUGAGGCCCGAAAGCGUGGGGAGCAAACAGGAUUAGAUACCCGGGUAGUC